UACGGGGGGGGCAAGCGUUGUUCGGAAUUACUGGGCGUAAAGGGCGCGUAGGCGGCCUGCUAAGUCGGAUGUGAAAUCCCUCGGCUCAACCGAGGAACUGCAUCCGAUACUGGCUCGCUAGAGUGCGGUAGAGGAGAGUGGAAUUCCCGGUGUAGCAGUGAAAUGCGUAGAGAUCGGGAGGAACAUCAGUUGCGAAGGCGGCUCUCUGGACCAGCACUGACACUGAGGCACGAAAGCGUGGGGAGCAAACAGG
rnacentral:rRNA from 1 species